rnacentral:rRNA from 1 species
CCUACGAGAGGCAGCAGUGAGGAAUAUUGGUCAAUGGACGAGAGUCUGAACCAGCCAAGUAGCGUGAAGGCUGACUGCCCUAUGGGUUGGAUACUUCUUUUAUAUGGGAAUAAAACGUUCCACGUGUGGGAUUUUGUAUGUACCAUAUGAAUAAAGAUCGGCUAACUCCGUGCCAGCAGCCGCGGUAAUACGGAGGAUCCGAGCUUUAUCCGGACUUAUUGGGUUUAAAGGGGGCGUAGGUGGAUUGUUAAGUCAGUUGUGAAAGUUUUCGGCUCAACCGUAAAAUUGCAGUUGAAACUGGCAGUCUUGAGUACAGUAGAGGUGGGCGGAAUUCGUGGUGUAUCGGGGAAAUGCUUAGAUAUCACGAAGAACUCCGAUUGCGAAGGCAGUUCACUGGACUGCAACUGACACUGAGGCUCGAAAGUGUGGGUAUCAAACAGGAUUAGAUACCCCAGUAGUC